CGCGGACAUUGGUAGCCACGUGACACCGUAAAAGAGCUGAAUUACCCCGCACAGCGUACGCGUCGAACACGGAUGCGGUAAAUUGUUUUCAGAUAUUGGAGAUACAACAAUUGCCUGAAGAAUCUAUAUGUAACAGUAUACAAUGUGGCGACAAUGAAGCCUUCAAGCUUCCCGUUCUUCCUGGACGACGUCCUAUCAUUAUCGCAUCCAUGUUUACAUACUUAGGUCUUCCUCUGUUCUCAACGAUGACGCUUCACGAGUGCGUUCAGAAUGCAACGGCCAAACAGCUAAGAUAGAGCGAGAGCAGUAUAUGAGAACUUUAGCACGACGACCCCUAUAUUUCCUUUCUCUUCCGUCCCUCUAUACACCCCGCGUCCGUAUGUUGAACCCCCUUUAGGCAUGCGUUUAGCAAAGCAAGUUCAGCCAUUUACUAGACAGCCUCAUGCCGCGAGUCGAGGCGAAUCGAGGUUGCAGAUAGGCUGAAGCACGCGCGUGCAAGCUAGCUGAGGAACAUUACAUAUUUUCAGCAUCUAUUACAUUCAUUUCCAACUUCAACGCUUGACUGGAUGCAUCCCGUCUUCCUCGCUUAACACCAACUGGAGUCUAAUCUACGGUCCCCUCAAACACAGCGUUCCUUCCUUUCCUCCUCACUUUCUGUCUCCCUCAAGGGAGUGUAAAGGGACCGUCUAUUGCUUCGACGUGCCGGCGGGUAACGACACGACGGCCAUGGGAAGAACGCCAGCUUGGGCGCUAUCUUGUGCCCCGUUCUCCCCCACCCGCCGAACCGUUGUUUCAAAGAAUCAAGUCUCAUCCCAACCGCCACUCCCGAAAGAGUAGAGAGAUGUCAUCAACGAACUCUUGGUUGAGUUCUCCAGCAAAUUUACGGUGUUUCUGGUUCGCCUCUUUUUGACGUCGUUUGUGAUAGUGAUGGCAGCUGGCAAACACCAGCCGAACAUCUAGGUGCAAUCAUACCAACUAGUAGAAGUCAGUAGUGUAGGAUUUCAGUUGAUCUGUAAUAGAGAACAAUGAAUUGCACUUGCUGUAUACAAUGGAAGUGCCAAUUACCAUGACUCAGUGUGUCCGCGCUUGUUCUACUCCGGCAAUGUCUUAUAACUUUGCUUUACAGUCUUUCUCCCUCUCACAAUAUUUAGGUGGCAUCCAUUAUACUUCGUUGUUUCGGUUAGCUGCAUAUCUACACUUAUUGUUGUGCCCUCGUGUUGCUACUUCGUGCUGAUUUUUUUCGUGAAGAUACAUACAACGUGAUUCCUUAUCAGUUCCCGUUUACCCUCAGCUCUAGCGGGUGUUUCGAUAAGAGACUGGCAAUAGGCUUGCUCCUGACGACUGUAACUAUUGUUGUUCUUCGACGAACUUCCUACGAACGCCGAACGGGAGGCAUUCUCCGAACAUUUUAUCGUCGUUCGUCCCGAUACGUGCUGCAUAAUGGGAGUAAAGGAAAGAAUUUUUACGUAAGCGAGCUGUCGACGAAAGCGAUUGGCCACGUACGGCCAGUGGUUGUGUGAGCAUUAUAGAUUAUGGUAGAAUUCCCAGUAUCUGCCUCCGCUGGCGACUCUGGAGAGAAAUGAAGGACGAGAGUUCACGGAGCGGUGGCAGCAGCAGUCUCGGUAGCGCUCUAGUUCCCUCAACGCCAGGACAAUCCUUUUCGCCCCGCGGCGUCACAUCUACGUUACAACGCGCUUCUAUUCACAGCAAGCUCCUUCCUUUCGCCGACCCGCAAAGCCGUCGCAGACGAUCGCUGCCAUCCCCCAGGAGCCGCCGUUCCUCUUGGCAUAUCAUAGACCGCUCGCAUCUUCUCUACAGACAAGGGCUUCUCAGUCCGUUCUUUUUGAGGUUGCUUGCCAGCCCCUAUCCGUUUUCAUCUGCUGUUGCAUCAGGAGUGAAACCGUUGUGAAGAAAAAAAAAAAUGCUUGAAAACGGGGCACUAAUUUUUGCUCGACAAAGAAAUACUAAAUGCUUAAACUUUGUUUGUACAGUGAGAUAGUGUAUCUCAAUAUACGAUGACAUGUCGUAAGAUUGCUACAACAAGCAGGACUUCAUGAAAACAAAGCUCGAAGGCGCAAUACUGCAUUGAGUCCUAGGAGAGGUCAUAUGCUCACACCUUCAAAUCGACGUAGUUUGACAAUAAAAAAGCUGAA